GACGAACGCUGGCGGCGUGCCUAAUACAUGCAAGUCGAGCGAAUCUUGAGGUGCUUGCACCUCUUGGUUAGCGGCGGACGGGUGAGUAACACGUGGGCAACCUGCCUGUAAGACUGGGAUAACUUCGGGAAACCGGAGCUAAUACCGGAUAAUCCUUUUUCUCUCAUGAGGAAAAGCUGAAAGUCGGUUUACGCUGACACUUACAGAUGGGCCCGCGGCGCAUUAGCUAGUUGGUGAGGUAACGGCUCACCAAGGCGACGAUGCGUAGCCGACGUGGGAGGGUGGUCGGCCACACGGGGACGGGGAAACGGCCCAGACUCCUACGGGAGGGAGCAGUAGGGAAUCUUCCUCAAUGGACGAAAGUCUGACGGAGCAACGCCGCGUGAGCGAUGAAGGCCUUCGGGUCGUAAAGCUCUGUUGUUAGGGAAGAACAAGUAUCGGAGUAACUGCCGGUACCUUGACGGUACCUAACCAGAAAGCCACGGCUAACUACGUGCCAGCCGCCGCGGUAA
rnacentral:rRNA from 1 species